rnacentral:rRNA from 1 species
GAUGAACGCUGGCGGCGUGCCUAAUACAUGCAAGUCGAGCGAACAGAUGAGGAGCUUGCUCCUCUGACGUUAGCGGCGGACGGGUGAGUAACACGUGGAUAACCUACCUAUAAGACUGGGAUAACUUCGGGAAACCGGAGCUAAUACCGGAUAAUAUAUUGAACCGCAUGGUUCAAUAGUGAAAGACGGUUUUGCUGUCACUUAUAGAUGGAUCCGCGCCGCAUUAGCUAGUUGGUAAGGUAACGGCUUACCAAGGCAACGAUGCGUAGCCGACCUGAGAGGGUGAUCGGCCACACUGGAACUAAGACACGGGCCAGACUCCUACGGGAGGCAGCAGUAGGGAAUCUUCCGCAAUGGGCGAAAGCCUGACGGAGCAACGCCGCGUGAGUGAUGAAGGUCUUCGGAUCGUAAAACUCUGUUAUUAGGGAAGAACAAAUGUGUAAGUAACUAUGCACGUCUUGACGGUACCUAAUCAGAAAGCCACGGCUAACUACGUG